AUACGUUUUGUCUAUGAGGCAGGAUGGCACUUUUGGCCGCCGUCUUUAGGGUGGCCUAACCAAAAGAGAACAGGACUUGCGCACCAUGUGUCUCCCAUCAAGCUGCACCUACUGAAAUCUUCUCUUCUGCACAACCAACAUGUGGGGCCUUGGUCCUCUUUUGCAUUUUCUGAUUAUUAUCCAUGACAAAGGGCUUCGCGAAAUGCAGAAAGAAAAUAUUUCACACAGCUGAAACCAGCAGCAAUGGGCUUUGCAUAUACCGGUACACAUAUUUCAUAGCUUGUUUCAGUUGCCUGAAAUAUUUUCAGCGUUUUGCUGAAGUGUUGAAGCAGGAAGACAAACUUUAAGUAGUGCUUGAAAUAAUAAGGCAGUGGUUUAAAUUUUUGGUAGUUUUAAGGGAAGAACAAAUUCUAGUACAGUAUGCUUAUCAGUUGGAAACGACAAGACUUGCUAAGAGCCUGAACAUAAUAAAAGAGAAGAGUCAAGAAGGACUUCAAGACUUAAGGAGAAGAACAAACAACCACAUUCUCAGAAAUGUGAAUGUGGGUUGAAAGGGGCUGAGAAGCAGUCAGGGGGCUAAAGCUGUGUUUAAGCAGAGUCAUGUUUGAGAAAACAUAAAGCACUCUUAAAUAUAAACAAAAGUGGUCUCUAGAUGUGGUGUAACAGGAUAGGUGCUGUUGUCAAAAAUAUGGGGUAAUAUUUUUCUUUUUAGGGAAAGGGAUUGUAUUUGUUUCCAAUAGUUUGCACUUUUCUUUCCUCCCUCCCUCCCUCCCUUCCUUUGCUUCCUUUUGGAACCAUAACUGGACUUCAUUUAUUUGCCAUUUAUCUUCAGGAUCUUUUGUGAAGUUUGCGAAUGAUCAGUGCAUCCAGCCCUUUGCUUUGCAGGAAGCAAAUGGGUGGGGGCAGUUUAAGUCUGAAUGAUAACACCAGUAAUCUGGACUAUCCUAAAUUUGUUAACCUUCCAGGUAUGCUGCAAUUCUGGAAUUUUUUUGUUUUGUUUGGUUUUGUUUUAGGAGGAAACACAGUUACCAAAUAGAAUCAUUCACAGUGAAUGUGAAUUCUCCAGUUCUCUAUGGAAGGGACAAAAUGUUCUAACUGAUAACAAAAACCCAAAAAAAACUUGUUGUGGACAUAGGAGAAGAAAGUUCAAGUUCAAGUUUGUCCAGCAGGGAGCCUCCAGCUGGAGAGUUGUUACCAUUCUCAGUACACAUAUGAUGGCCAGAACUACAGCUCUUCAUUCUAGCCAGGACCAUGUGACUUUGAGGUAUCAAUAGGUGGGAAUCAUAACAGGAGUCAUAGCUAAGUGUUUGUCUGCAAUCAUACCAUAGGAAGUAUACAAAUCACACUUAAGUCCAAGGCUAUGGGGGAAAUACUGAAUAGGCAAAAGUUUCAAUGUAUGCUAACCGGAUGUCCAGCUAAGGAUGUGUACACACCAUAUACUUAAAGCACAUUAUUCCCCCCAAUGGAUUCUGGGAUCUGUAGUUUACCCCUCGCAGAGCUACAAUUCCCAACACCCUUAACAAGCUCCAGGUGCCGGAGCUUGUUCGGUCAGUCCCCAUCCAAGAAUGCCCAGUCCAGAUGUCACACAAGGUUUUCUUAACAUACAAUGAGUUGGGGUGGCCCAAUACAUGUUGCUGCUUGAGACACAGCAGCAAAUGGCACCCUGCCCCUCCUCCCAAGUCAAGGUGCAUUGUACUCAGGUUACUUAGGCACCUGAGAUAGAAAAUCCCCAUUCCUCCUCCUGAGUAGUAAAAAUAUACUAAUACCUAUGUAUGUUCUGCCCUUUUGUGAAAUCCAAAAUCAACUGCCUCCCUCUGCCUAAUGGUAGGGCUGGUCGGUCCAGGUCCAGGAGCAAGUGUUGCAGUAAUUCUGAUUCCCUCACGUGGGGUUUGAUGGCUGAGCCACUAAGAUAGCAUGAGGAUUAGAUUGCAUAAUGUCCAAAGGUCUUCCCCAGAUGGCUGGACACUUUAACCAAUGUUCUUCUGACCUUAUCUCCUCUUAGCAGUCCUGAAAGAACCCCUGCAGGCUUCUCUCAUCUUCUUUUCCACCCAGUGAAAGCAGAGGCGCAAGUCAGCACUUGGACCUGCCCUUUUCUGUGGUUAUCAUUGAUGGGUUGUUUUCUCUGCUAUAGUCACCAGCAAGUAGCAGCAGUAGUGGAGCAGCACUACAUCUGAAAUGGUGUGUGUUGUGGUAUGGGGAAGGGCAGGAUGGCUUAGUCCAGGUGGCCUAAGCCACAGGUCUUUUUCAAUGGGCCCUGGAACUCCUUCCGCUCUUAAAACAAUAUCCUUUGCUUACCGAACAGCUGGGAAUGCAGCAAAGUGCAGUGCCACUGAGAUCCCAGUCACCCUCCAGCUUAAUUUGCUCAGAGAGCUAAAUAAGCAUACAUGCACGUAAUUAGCAUGUCCUAAUUUUAUGCAAAUUUGUGUCACAGACUUCUCUUUUAAGUUCUAAGUCCCACUGUUUCUCUUUUAUUGUGAGCUUACUUGAAGCUAUCAAUAUCUCUUACCAUGUGAGAGUCAGGUACUGCAUGCUACUCUAUAAAAAAUCCUAAGAAACUGAUGUAAUUUCAUUGAUAAGCAAAUGCUUGGAAAUGUUUCAGACGUGUUUCAGUCCUUGGAGCAAGCCAUUCUGUUCUUGCUUCAUCCAGCUUUCCCUGAACAGAAGUUAACUUAAUAACACACUUGACCUUUAAUCUCCUGGUAAGAACAUUCCCAUGUGUACAAUUAAGCUAAGGGAGAUAAAGAGAAAUAUUAAUGAAGCUGCAGAUAUCAAAGGUGUUGGGGAAGCUUUUGAAGAUUCAUCACAACAGAUUUACUACACUGUUUAAAAGUCAGCACUUUGUGGUGUAUAUGCACCGCGGUGUUGUCAGUCUGUGAAAAUCAUAGUCUUGUGGAUGUGCGGGGGAGAAAGAGAAAUAAUGGCUAUUCACACUCAUGCUGGAAAACUUUAUUUUAAUAUGUUAUUCUUUAUAACAGUCUAGUGUUCCAGUGCACUUGUAAGCAGAAAAGUGCUGUUAAAAAUAACAAUUUCUGUGGGGUUUGUAGUGGCAUAUGAAAUGCAGCAAGGAAGUUUUCAGUGCACUUAUAUAACAUGACUUUGAUGGGACUUACUCCCAGAAGCGGCUCUCUGGGUGCUAGCUUCCCAGCAGGUGGGUUGCUGUUGCUUACCGAGAGGAAAGGUGACAUGGAGAUCAGUGCGGUGCAAACAUACCAGCGGAACCAAUCAGGUGGUCCUGCUGCUGCAUUUGCUCCACACCAACCUCCCCGGCCACCUUCCCCCUGUCCCUCCCCUUCAUGCCAGAAAGUUUGCGUAGUGGCCCCAUCCCAAAUGGUGAGUUGCUUACUGCUUACUACCAGGAAAGUGUUUGAAGGAUUGUAGUCCUAACUGGGUUUGAAGGAUCUGCAAUAGCCAUUCUCUACCAGGAAGUCAUGCUGCACAAAUCUCAUUGAAAUUAAUGGGAGCUGCCCCCAGACUGUGCUCUUGCGCUGCUGUAGUUCAUUUUCAGUUGGGUUUGCACAGAGAAUCUCCCAACGCUCCCAAGUUUUCACUUGUGAGCCAUAUCUCCAUCUCCAAAGUUUUCUGUAGCUAUUCAGGCCAUCAAUUAUUUAUUUUUAAAGCAAAGGGCCUGCAAGAUGCUUGCUAAUAUCCCUGCUAUUGCAGAGAAAGAGACAUUAUACUUCCUUGUAGCUGCCCACCAUCAAUCUCUUAUGUAGCCAGAAUUAUGCCUCUAGGAAUAACUGUUCAAGCCAUAAUCCUUAGGCUUUAUGAUAAUGUGUGAGUGUGAGUGUGAAAUACUUCAGAGAUUAAAUUACAGAAGUAGCCACCUUCAUACAAACACAGAUGUAGCAGAGUGACCCAUGAGACCAUUUUUAAAAAGCAAUACAUUUCAAGUUGUAAAAGCUACUGAGCCUGGUUAUUCUUAUCUUAACGUUUAUUACACCAUUAAACAUAACCCAGCAUUUCACAAGCACUACCGCAGACCAGUGCAAAUGCAUUCUGUUUGAUUUCACAACCUGAGGGGAGGAAAGACAGUGUGCGUGUGGGUGGGUGGCUGUAAAAUGUCAGAUAAAUGGACUUCUCCAGUGACGUAGACAUUUAUGAGACUUGGGAAUGGAAAAUGUGGAUAGAUGUCCAGCAGAUAAACAUAUUCACAAAUAUGCAACCUUUGUGGUCAAAAUGCAAGUGCUGUUUAGCAAGGCUAGAUCCAUGCCGUAACAUCUUUGCCCAAACGUUUUAGGUGGUUCCCUGCUACCACACACUAUUUUAAUAGUCUGAGAAACCCCAGGAAGCUCAGGCUCUUAAUACACCUUCUUCCAGCUCAAUUGAAAUCCUUAGAGCAGUUCUAAUGAACUUCCUCUUGGGAGUUCUGUAGAUCAUAAACUCAUACUGGGAAGCACAACAGGGCUUAAUUAGCCAAUCCACAACCACAGGAUUUAAAAACCAACUUGGUGAAUUAAUUCAAAGCAUAUGACCCUGCCUGGAAGAAUGACCUUCUGCUCCCCUCCCCCUCCAUUUAAGUUUAGCAGGAGAGGUGGGAGAGAGAACAAGAGCUCUUGCACUGGAGAACUUGGCCCAGGUGGCAUGCAACCUUUCCCUUCACCAGCAGCGGAGGGUGGAACAGUGUCACCUUCCUCUUCGCUGCCAUUUUUAUUUUGCUUUUGUGGUUGAAUAGUGGGGUAUGAUUUGUGUGUACGAAAGCACCCUGUGAUCCUCGGGUAAAUGAAUGAAUGAAUGAAUGAAUGCAUCCAAAAUAGCAUUAGAACAACACAGCAGUUAAGAACUAAGAACUAGGGUACAACUAAAUAAAUAUAAAGGUGCACAAUGAGAAGGUGCUUUGGUGAUUGGAGGUUUAAUCUGAAAUCCAGCUGGAUUUAAUAUUGUUGGUGUGUCUUCUGUCUCUUACAUCAUGGAUGCUGGCUUAUUUUAUGGAUGGAUGUUCUGUAUUGUUUUAUUAAUACUAUUGCUACAAGUUUGUCAUCACCUUCAUCUAGAACAAUUUACUUAUGAACUAUGCUAGUCAUGAGAAAACUUUCUUGAAGUUUUGUAUUGUGGAAGGAGGAAUUGCUUUGACCUUUUUUUUCUGAAGGGAGGUGGUUUAAUAAUAAAAGCUAGAAUCCAUUCUUGAUUACAUUGCCAUUUAGGAAAAGUCAGGAAUCAUUGUAAUUUAGUGAAGUGCACAUUUCUACUUUUCAUUUUACCACAUUUUCUAACUUCGUAGCAAAGUUCUGGGUUUUAAUGCAAUUUGUGCACAUAGUAUUAACAGGAAAAUGUUUAUUAGUUUUCCUUUUGGUGUCUGGCAGAAGGGAAUACUAAAAACACGGGGGUGGAAAUGACAGGUAAAAUUCUGAAUAGAGUUUUAUGUUACAAAUUAUGAUAUGGGAAAGGCUAUUUUUGAAAAUGCCUUAAACUUGCCAAAUUGAUCUCUCCCAUUUAUUUUUUUCUUAUUUUAAAGUGGCCAGAGGAUAGC